UGGGGAAUAUUGCACAAUGGGCACAAGCCUGAUGCAGCCAUGCCGCGUGUAUGAAGAAGGCCUUCGGGUUGUAAAGUACUUUCAGCGGGGAGGAAGGCGAUAAGGUUAAUAACCUUGUCGAUUGACGUUACCCGCAGAAGAAGCACCGGCUAACUCCGUGCCAGCAGCCGCGGUAAUACGGAGGGUGCAAGCGUUAAUCGGAAUUACUGGGCGUAAAGCGCACGCAGGCGGUCUGUCAAGUCGGAUGUGAAAUCCCCGGGCUCAACCUGGGAACUGCAUUCGAAACUGGCAGGCUAGAGUCUUGUAGAGGGGGGUAGAAUUCCAGGUGUAGCGGUGAAAUGCGUAGAGAUCUGGAGGAAUACCGGUGGCGAAGGCGGCCACCUGGACAAAGACUGACGCUCAGGUGCGAAAGCGUGGGGAGCAAACA
rnacentral:rRNA from 1 species